rnacentral:rRNA from 1 species
GAUGAACGCUGGCGGCGUGCCUAAUACAUGCAAGUCGAGCGAACAGACGAGGAGCUUGCUCCUUUGACGUUAGCGGCGGACGGGUGAGUAACACGUGGGUAACCUACCUAUAAGACUGGGAUAACUUCGGGAAACCGGAGCUAAUACCGGAUAAUAUUUCGAACCGCAUGGUUCGAUAGUGAACGAUGGCUUUGCUAUCACUUAUAGAUGGACCUGCGCCGUAUUAGCUAGUUGGUAAGGUAACGGCUUACCAAGGCAACGAUACGUAGCCGACCUGCGAGGGUGAUCGGCCACACUGGAACUGAGACACGGUCCAGACUCCUACGGGAGGCAGCAGUAGGGAAUCUUCCGCAAUGGGCGAAAGCCUGACGGAGCAACGCCGCGUGAGUGAUGAAGGUCUUCGGAUCGUAAAACUCUGUUAUUAGGGAAGAACAAACGUGUAAGUAACUGUGCACGUCUUGACGGUACCUAAUCAGAAAGCCACGGCUAACUACGUG